rnacentral:snoRNA from 1 species
AAUCCGUGGUUUGGGCAUUUCUAAAUUAGCGUCUUAAAAUGCUCUCAUGCUUUGUGAAAGCUUUCCCCUUCUAACUGCUUGCACAUUGAAAUUUCCCUUCUUAGUUA